rnacentral:lncRNA from 1 species
UAAGAUACAAGAAAAAGCAUCUCAACAUAGAGGAUGUUGCCAUGUGGUGUGUCCACAUUGGCGGGUCUUAAUUUAACCCGAUCCGCAUAAGAUGUGGAUUGUGAUUUAUCCUAAUAUGUUAAGUAUAAGAAUAGAUUAUACGUUUCUUGUUAGUUAAGAAACGUAUCUCCUAGUGAAUAUCUAUUAUGGAUAUCCUAAUCUAAAUCUCUAUAUGAGAAUCAGGAUAUUUUAGGGGGUUCCAAUAUUUUAUAAAUACAUCCUCCCUUCUCUCACGUAUUAUUCGAUUGAAGAGAAUCUAUGAUUUAUCUUCCUUCUUCUCUCUCUUCUUUCUCUCCGAAUUUCUACUUACGUUCCUGAGGUUUUGGAGUUGGAUAUAUGUCACACCCUGGGGUCCUUUUUUGAUUUAAAAAUUAAUGCGGUCAAUGCGGAAGUGUCCAUUUUUAUUUUUAUUUUUUUGAAAACCUUGACCCCAAGGUAUAUCGAAUCCGUCACAAAUAUAGAGAGUCUACUGUUCACACGGACAGAAUCUCCUCUGUAUUUAUACGGCAUCGCACAAGUACAAUAUACAACCACAACUGUAUGAGCAUACACAUACAUUCACCAUUCAUAGUCACCAAUCAUUUCAUCAAAAAUAAUUAUAAAUUCACAUCUAUUAGUUUAAAAUGUUUUCUACCCGAAAACUCAUUUUAAAACACUAAAAGUCAUGAAAACUAAGAAAAACCAUUUUAAAAUUGUUUCCCAUACGGAAACAUUUUCUUUUAAAACACGCUACCACGAAGGGUAGAAAACCAUUUUCAUAAGCUCAUAUGAAAACCAUAAUUACUUUAUUAAUUUCACAAAACUACGUGAAUCCAAAUAAAGUAAAUCCAACUGAACCAUAACAUGUCUAAGUCAUUUAUUUUGGAAAAAUAAGGUUAGAAACUAAAUCAAACCAACCGUGUCGGAAGCUCUAUCGACCGCUAAAUACUCGCCUCACGCACCGUCCCAACUCGAACCAGCAAUGUCACCUGAAAGGGGGUGGGGGGUGAGAACAUGUACACAUGUCUCCCUUCCCAGUAGAUACCGCAAGCCGAUGAAGGCGAGGAGUACUCACCGGCAGAAAGAGAUUAUCAAAGUCAUAAGUAGAUAAUACAAAUACAGUAGCUAUAACACUGGAAGGAAAGAGAACAGUGAUAGAACAGGUAAUUACCGCUACUGUAAAGUAAAACAGGGAGUAUGUAU